GACGAACGCUGGCGGCGUGCUUAACACAUGCAAGUCGAACGGAAAGGCCCUGCUUUUGUGGGGUGCUCGAGUGGCGAACGGGUGGGUAACACGUGAGUAACCUGCCCUUGACUUUGGGAUAACUUCAGGAAACUGGGGCUAAUACCGGAUAGGAGCUCCUGCUGCAUGGUGGGGGUUGGAAAGUUUCGGCGGUUGGGGAUGGACUCGCGGCUUAUCAGCUUGUUGGUGGGGUAGUGGCUUACCAAGGCUUUGACGGGUAGCCGGCCUGAGAGGGUGACCGGCCACAUUGGGACUGAGAUACGGCCCAGACUCCUACGGGAGGCAGCAGUGGGGAAUAUUGCACAAUGGGCGGGAGCCUGAUGCAGCAACGCCGCGUGCGGGAUGACGGCCUUCGGGUUGUAAACCGCUUUCGCCUGUGACGAAGCGUGAGUGACGGUAAUGGGUAAAGAAGCACCGGCUAACUACGUG
rnacentral:rRNA from 1 species